CGGGGGAUAACUACUCGAAAGAGUGGCUAAUACCGCAUACGCCCUACGGGGGAAAGGGGGGGAUCGCAAGACCUCUCACUAUUGGAGCGGCCGAUAUCGGAUUAGCUAGUUGGUGGGGUAAAGGCCUACCAAGGCGACGAUCCGUAGCUGGUUUGAGAGGACGACCAGCCACACUGGGACUGAGACACGGCCCAGACUCCUACGGGAGGCAGCAGUGGGGAAUUUUGGACAAUGGGGGAAACCCUGAUCCAGCCAUCCCGCGUGUGUGAUGAAGGCCUUCGGGUUGUAAAGCACUUUUGACAGGGAAGAAAUGAUAGAGGCUAAUAACCUCUGUAGAUGACGGUACCUGUAGAAUAAGCACCGGCUAACUACGUGCCAGCAGCCGCGGUAAUACGUAGGGUGCAAGCGUUAAUCGGAAUUACUGGGCGUAAAGGGUACGCAGGCGGCUAGGAAAGAAAGAUGUGAAAUCCCAGGGCUCAACCUUGGAACUGCAUUUUUAACUACCUAGCUAGAGUAUGUCAGA
rnacentral:rRNA from 1 species